UUACUUUGUGUUUUUAAGUGUUUUGAUUCAAGUUAAAACCCAAAUUCGUCCAAUUUGGUGUUUAGUGUCCAAAACUGCCCAGAUUGUGUUUUUAAGGCAGUUUUGAGUGUUUUGGUGCUGUUUUGAGUCUUUUGGUUUGUUUUGGUGUUUUAAAGUUUAGUUUUGCAUUCUUUGAGUCUAUUUUAGUGUUUUAAACUUGUUUUUACGUAUUUGAGUCAAUUCCAAGUGAUUUUGCAAUCCCUCCUAAUCCCCGGUCUAGAACGAUCCCUACUUACAUACAUUGCUACAAUUGAUAAAAAGAGGGUUAAUUUGUGUGUCAACAUAAUUUUCACAUCAAAUUUUGGCUAAACCCUAAACCCUAGAACCCAAAAAUUUCAACAAAUUCAAAACUUCAUUAAAGGAACAAAACAAUUUGUCCUUUAAUGAUUUUGGGCCUUUACGUAAAUACGUAAACUUUUGGGUUAAACUACAAAUUACACAAAAGUACCAAAACUUUAUGUAAUUGCAUAAAAGCCCCAAAAACACCCCACUUGUAGGGUGGCCGGUUUUGGAGAGAAGGGAGUGAUGUGUGUGUUGAUUUGUAGUUUUAGACAUAAAGUCAUGCAAGUGGUGCAUGACAUAAAUGUCAUGCAAGUGGUGUGUGUGAAAGGGAAUUAAUCCUUACACACCCACCAAUAUUUCUUUCACCUUUCAAAAUAAAUAUCUAAUACAUUUAAACAUACGAAAAACAUAAAACAUAAACUUUAUGAAAUAAAUCAAAACUUUGAAUCAAAACACCAAACUUUUUGUUCUUGGCAAAAAUGUCAAGAACAAUGAAGAACACUCAUGAAAAACUCAAAAAAAUUUCCAUGAACAUUUUUCACCCAAAAACAUCCCAAAACCAUUCAAACUUAAGGGAAAUAACAUAUAACCAAACUAGGGUACAUAGGGGUUCCAAAAGUUACUUGAAAACAUUUUUAACAAGUCAAACAAGAAUGAUGCGUAAAAUUACUUGACACACAAAUUAAACCCUCUUUUUGACAAUUGUAGUAUAGAUG
rnacentral:lncRNA from 1 species